GAUGAACGCUGGCGGCGUGCUUAACACAUGCAAGUCGAACGAUGAAGCCCAGCUUGCUGGGUGGAUUAGUGGCGAACGGGUGAGUAACACGUGAGUAACCUGCCCUUAACUCUGGGAUAAGCCUGGGAAACUGGGUCUAAUACCGGAUAGGAGCGUCCACCGCAUGGUGGGUGUUGGAAAGAUUUAUCGGUUUUGGAUGGACUCGCGGCCUAUCAGCUUGUUGGUGAGGUAAUGGCUCACCAAGGCGACGACGGGUAGCCGGCCUGAGAGGGUGACCGGCCACACUGGGACUGAGACACGGCCCAGACUCCUACGGGAGGCAGCAGUGGGGAAUAUUGCACAAUGGGCGCAAGCCUGAUGCAGCGACGCCGCGUGAGGGAUGACGGCCUUCGGGUUGUAAACCUCUUUCAGUAGGGAAGAAGCGAAAGUGACUGUACCUGCAGAAGAAGCACCGGCUAACUACAUG
rnacentral:rRNA from 1 species